rnacentral:rRNA from 1 species
CCUACGGGAGGCAGCAGUGGGGAAUAUUGGGCAAUGGGCGCAACCCUGACCCAGCAACGCCGCGUGAAGGAAGAAGGCUUUCGGGUUGUAAAGUUCUUUUAAGAGGGAAGAGCAGAAGACGGUACCCUUUGAAUAAGCCCCGGCUAACUACGUUCCAGCAGCCGCGGUUAUAAGUAGGGGGAAAGCGUUUUUCGGAUUUACUGGGUGUAAAGGGGGGGAAGCCGGGAAGACAAGUCAGUUGUGAAACCCCGGGGCUCAACCGCGGAACUGCAUUUGAAACUGUUGUACUUGAGCUCCGGAGAGGUCAUCGGAAUUCCUAGUGUAGCGGUGAAAUGCGUAGAUAUAAGGAAGAACACCAGUGGCGAAGGCGGAUGACUGGACUGCAACUGACGGUGAGGCGCGAAAGCGUGGGGAGCAAACAGGAUUAGAUACCCCUGUAGUC